rnacentral:rRNA from 1 species
AACGAACGCUGGCGGCAUGCCUAACACAUGCAAGUCGAACGAGACCUUCGGGUCUAGUGGCGCACGGGUGCGUAACGCGUGGGAACCUUCCCUUAGGUUCGGAAUAACUCCCCGAAAGGGGUGCUAAUACCGGAUAAUGUCUUCGGACCAAAGAUUUAUCGCCGUUGGAUGGGCCCGCGUUGGAUUAGCUGGUUGGUAGGGUAAAAGCCUACCAAGCCGACGAUCCCUAGCUGGUCUGAGAGGAUGAUCAGCCACACUGGGACUGAGACACGGCCCAGAAUCCUACGGGAGGGAGGAGUGGGUAAGAGGGGAAAAGGGGGGAAAGGAUGAAGGAGAAAGGCUGGGAGAGCGAUGAAGUUAGGGGGGAAGAAAAGUGUUUGUACCUGGGAAGAUAAUGACGGUACCGAAAGAAAAAGCCACGGCUAACUCCGUG